GGGCCCGCACAAGCGGUGGAGCAUGUGGUUUAAUUCGAUGCAACGCGAAAAACCUUACCUACUCUUGACAUACUUGGAAGCUCUUGUAAUGAGAGUGUGCCUUUUGGAACCAAGAUACAGGUGCUGCAUGGCUGUCGUCAGCUCGUGUCGUGAGAUGUUGGGUUAAGUCCCGCAACGAGCGCAACCCUCACUUUUAGUUGCCAUCAUUAAGUUGGGCACUCUGAAAGAACUGCCAGUGAUAAGCUGGAGGAAGGUGGGGAUGACGUCAAGUCCUCAUGGCCCUUACGUGUUGGGCUACACACGUGCUACAAUGGCAAGUACAGACGGCUGCAAACCCGCGAGGGGAGCCA
rnacentral:rRNA from 1 species